AUACAAUGAAAAUUGCGCGGGUUAUAUGCUAGUUAACUUAACCAUCGGAGCUAUUUUUCGCCGACACAUCCCGACAAGCUCUUAUGCUUAUUUACUAUUCUAACACCAUUUAGUAAAUUGUUAUAGUCAUCCUCGUCAUUGGUGUUUUCAUCAGAACUAUUUGUCGUCAAAUGGGAGUCAUGGGACCAAUUGGGUUUGACUAAAACGGGUCCAUCGUCUGAGGAGGACCCUAAUCCAACAAAUCGGGCCGGUCUGUGUGAGGGUUUGAACCGUUUGUUUUGUUGGCGAAUAAAGCCAUAAACACUGUAGCUGCUCAGCGGCAAUAACAACUACACAUCCAACGAAGACGGUGUGCUUCGACUAUAACUUUGAUUUAUUUUCUUGUAAUCGAAAAUAACGAUAUAAUUUUUGGUUUUAAUUAUAAAAAAAAAAACACCAAUAAAGGUCCUUGCAGCUAUAAUAAGCAACAAUUAUGGAGAUCCUGUUAAUGGAUUGAGAAUGGUGGGUAGCAGUAUAAGUGAUAAGAGAUAUUCUUAUAUACGUGACUCUAAAUGGCCUUCUGAAGCGGCCGAUGUGCACCACAUCAUUGUUCGGAAGAGCAGCGCAAAGGGUUUACUUGUAUACUUGUCAGCUCUUCUGAUUUUAGCAAAUGGGUUCCAUCUUUUCCUUGUCAAGGAUAAAUCAAUUAUCAUUGUUUUUUGGAGCUUUCUUUUGGAUGUAUUCCUUGUCAAGCUCAUGCUUCAAAGCCUGUUAAGAAAGAGUCUGUUAUAGUUAUGCCAGCUUUUGGAAUUCAACUUGAAACUCACUAUGUAAGUGGUAAAACUAUCCGCCGCUUUGUACCCAUUGACAAGAUAUUGAAACCUACGCUAUAAGAAUGUGUGACCCCUGUUACUUGUUACUGGAGCCUGUCUUUCAUUGUACGAGGAGAGGCAGAACUGAUGUUAGCUUUUAAGGAGUUACGUCCGCCGGUGAAAAUGCUAGUCCCCAUCUGGAAGGCCUUGUGUGCUGCCACUGGAAGUGGAGGAAGCUUCGACACACUUACUGAUGAUGGCCCAUGGUGUUGAAGGAUUUUUUUUUUAAUUUUUAUUUG